CGGAGGAGUACAUGAAAGCAGAUCUGGUCGCCCUGCAGGACAAGAGAGACAAGUUUAAAGAAGCGAGCUUGGGUCGGGAGGUCACAGGUUCAAUCCCCAGACCGGCAGGAUAAAAAUCUGGGUGGGGAAAGUGGAAAAAUGGCAUUUGAGGUGAGCAAUGCUCUUAACCCCAACCUGAGCUCCAGUGGAGCUGCUCAAUGGGAAGCAGAUCAGACUGGUGCUGUACCGGGCAGCUUCCAGUGAAAACAGGAGUUAUUUACCCUCAUCCUCCAGCGUUGGGAAGCUGCGAGCUCCUCUCAGGUCGUAGAUGUUCUCGUCUCGCUCCGAGGGGAGCUGGCUAGCUGACCAGGCUGCACCAGGACCAGCAAACUUAGGCACUGACAACGACACACGGCCCUUCUUGGAUGGCGAUGACUUCAGAGCUGAGGGACAAUACACAACAACACAUACAUCAACUCGGGAAAACAUGGGACGUGUGCCUGUUGUCCCUCUGUCUCAACUCACGUGUCGUCAGUGUCGAUGGACCCCCCGCAGGCCGCUCCUCCCUGGAUGGACUCCAUGGCGGUGGAGUACAGGGCCUUCUGCUGGGCCACGGGCCUCUUCUCAUCGCUUUCGCUCUGGGAGCCUUCCAUCUGCCUCUCCCUCUCCGCCUGGUCCAUGUUGUGAACUCCGAGCAGCAGACUGUAGUCCAUGAUCUUAAAGCUUUCCAGCACCUGGGCAAAGGACAUAUACAGACGGGUGUUCAAUGCGCAGUGACUGACAGACACGUGACGUAUGAAUCUGGGUGACAGCUUGUAUCAAGGGUGCAAUAACAGUGUCAGCACCAGAGGGAAUGUGAACUGUAACACUGGGGGAAAUGAAUGCUAUACAGGAGACACUGAGCUAACACUGAACAGUGAUGUACACAUUAAUCAACAAUGUGUAAGAAUAAGAAAAAGUGCGCUCCCAAGCGCAUGCACUAUAAAAGUAAAUGUGAGGUGGUGAUUUACAAGACAAGGGCAGGCCUGCUACCAAACCAGACACCUUGUUAAACCUGCAGCUCGUAACAAAGCUCUAAUUUACAGCCAGGGAUCCUGGGAAAGCCAAACACUCAUAAAUAGCUUUUCUCUCUCUCAGCAUUCCUCAGUCUCACCUCCAUCCAUCCAUCAUGCUCUUUUUUUAAUCAGGGAACCAUACUAUCCUGGUUUUCCCACUCCAUUCCAUUUCCUUUGGUGGACUUUGUACUCAAUUUCUCUUUAUCAAUAUUCCCAUAUGAGACUCUGCAUCAUGGCAUCACUUUAUCCUUCCUUCUAACGUCCCUCUAAUCCUUCCCUCUAACCAUUCCUGCCUAGUAUCCUCUCUCUCUCUCUCUCACAUAAGAGCUGUAAUGUAUCCCCUCCCUCCAUCUAACUCACCAGGCAGUCUCUCUGUAGGGUCUUGACCAGCGCGUUGUAUGUGUCCUGGUCCAGCAUCAGUCCGUCCUGCAGGUCUUGCAUGAAGUCCAGGUCCUUGAAAGUGGGCCUGGCCUUCUCUCUUUCCUUCUUGGAUGCUCGCCUCUUGUAGGUGGAGCCCUUCAGGUCGUAUUUGAGGUGCAUGCGAACUACGCGGGGAAGGACGUUAUUCAUCACCACCACGCGGAUGUUCUUACCGCCCGACUGGACACA